UUAACUGGGCGUUAAGUUGCAGGGUAUAGACCCGAAACCCGGUGAUCUAGCCAUGGGCAGGUUGAAGGUUGGGUAACACUAACUGGAGGACCGAACCGACUAAUGUUGAAAAAUUAGCGGAUGACUUGUGGCUGGGGGUGAAAGGCCAAUCAAACCGGGAGAUAGCUGGUUCUCCCCGAAAGCUAUUUAGGUAGCGCCUCGUGAAUUCAUCUCCGGGGGUAGAGCACUGUUUCGGCAAGGGGGUCAUCCCGACUUACCAACCCGAUGCAAACUGCGAAUACCGGAGAAUGUUAUCACGGGAGACACACGGCGGGUGCUAACGUCCGUCGUGAAGAGGGAAACAACCCAGACCGCCAGCUAAGGUCCCAAAGUCAUGGUUAAGUGGGAAACGAUGUGGGAAGGCCCAGACAGCCAGGAUGUUGGCUUAGAAGCAGCCAUCAUUUAAAGAAAGCGUAAUAGCUCACUGGUCGAGUCGGCCUGCGCGGAAGAUGUAACGGGGCUAAACCAUGCACCGAAGCUGCGGCAGCGACACUAUGUGUUGUUGGGUAGGGGAGCGUUCUGUAAGCCUGUGAAGGUGGCCUGUGAGGGUUGCUGGAGGUAUCAGAAGUGCGAAUGCUGACAUAAGUAACGAUAAAGCGGGUGAAAAGCCCGCUCGCCGGAAGACCAAGGGUUCCUGUCCAACGUUAAUCGGGGCAGGGUGAGUCGACCCCUAAGGCGAGGCCGAAAGGCGUAGUCGAUGGGAAACAGGUUAAUAUUCCUGUACUUGGUGUUACUGCGAAGGGGGGACGGAGAAGGCUAUGUUGGCCGGGCGACGGUUGUCCCGGUUUAAGCGUGUAGGCUGGUUUUCCAGGCAAAUCCGGAAAACCAAGGCUGAGGCGUGAUGACGAGGCACUACGGUGCUGAAGCGACAAAUGCCCUGCUUCCAGGAAAAGCCUCUAAGCAUCAGGUAACAUCAAAUCGUACCCCAAACCGACACAGGUGGUCAGGUAGAGAAUACCAAGGCGCUUGAGAGAACUCGGGUGAAGGAACUAGGCAAAAUGGUGCCGUAACUUCGGGAGAAGGCACGCUGAUAUGUAGGUGAAGCGACUUGCUCGUGGAGCUGAAAUCAGUCGAAGAUACCAGCUGGCUGCAACUGUUUAUUAAAAACACAGCACUGUGCAAACACGAAAGUGGACGUAUACGGUGUGACGCCUGCCCGGUGCCGGAAGGUUAAUUGAUGGGGUUAGCGGCAACGCGAAGCUCUUGAUCGAAGCCCCGGUAAACGGCGGCCGUAACUAUAACGGUCCUAAGGUAGCGAAAUUCCUUGUCGGGUAAGUUCCGACCUGCACGAAUGGCGUAAUGAUGGCCAGGCUGUCUCCACCCGAGACUCAGUGAAAUUGAACUCGCUGUGAAGAUGCAGUGUACCCGCGGCAAGACGGAAAGACCCCGUGAACCUUUACUAUAGCUUGACACUGAACAUUGAGCCUUGAUGUGUAGGAUAGGUGGGAGGCUUUGAAGUGUGGACGCCAGUCUGCAUGGAGCCGACCUUGAAAUACCACCCUUUAAUGUUUGAUGUUCUAACGUUGGCCCGUAAUCCGGGUUGCGGACAGUGUCUGGUGGGUAGUUUGACUGGGGCGGUCUCCUCCUAAAGAGUAACGGAGGAGCACGAAGGUUGGCUAAUCCUGGUCGGACAUCAGGAGGUUAGUGCAAUGGCAUAAGCCAGCUUGACUGCGAGCGUGACGGCGCGAGCAGGUGCGAAAGCAGGUCAUAGUGAUCCGGUGGUUCUGAAUGGAAGGGCCAUCGCUCAACGGAUAAAAGGUACUCCGGGGAUAACAGGCUGAUACCGCCCAAGAGUUCAUAUCGACGGCGGUGUUUGGCACCUCGAUGUCGGCUCAUCACAUCCUGGGGCUGAAGUAGGUCCCAAGGGUAUGGCUGUUCGCCAUUUAAAGUGGUACGCGAGCUGGGUUUAGAACGUCGUGAGACAGUUCGGUCCCUAUCUGCCGUGGGCGCUGGAGAACUGAGGGGGGCUGCUCCUAGUACGAGAGGACCGGAGUGGACGCAUCACUGGUGUUCGGGUUGUCAUGCCAAUGGCACUGCCCGGUAGCUAAAUGCGGAAGAGAUAAGUGCUGAAAGCAUCUAAGCACGAAACUUGCCCCGAGAUGAGUUCUCCCUGACUCCUUGAGAGUCCUGAAGGAACGUUGAAGACGACGACGUUGAUAGGCCGGGUGUGUAAGCGCAGCGAUGCGUUGAGCUAACCGGUACUAAUGAACCGUGAGGCUUAACCUUACAACGCCGAAG
rnacentral:rRNA from 1 species